UUCCAGGCAUGGGAAACGAACCCACAGUGUUCCGCUUACCGGGCAGAUGCCAUGUCCACUAGGUUACCCUGGA
rnacentral:tRNA from 1 species